AGCAUUCUAUGCUGGACCGGUUCAUGUUAAGUCUGAGUUCCUCAAUCGCUGGCUCUCAGGAGCUGUUUGGAAAAUUCAUUGCCAUGCAUGAGUCGGGGGAUUGGUAUUUUUUCCACUGGAAACUGUUAAUGGGGACUGCAUUAGCGGCCCCUUAUCGCUUUGCCUGAUAGAGAGACAGCAGGUUCGCCCAAACAAUUCUGGAACCCUGAUCACUGCCAAUUAGGGGAGUAUUGUCUGGCUGACAUAAUCAAAUUUUAAGUAACCAAGAGGAGUGGUUUAAGGCGGAGCUUGGGAGCCAGGAAGGAUAUGUGCCCAAGAAUUUCAUAGACAUCCAGUUUCCCGAAUGGUUUCACGAAGGCCUCUCUCGACACCAGGCAGAGAACUUACUCAUGGGCAAGGAGGUUGGUUUCUUCAUCAUCCGGGCCAGCCAGAGCUCCCCAGGGGACUUCUCCAUCUCUGUCAGGCAUGAGGAUGACGUUCAACACUUCAAGGUCAUGCGAGACAACAAGGGUAAUUACUUUCUGUGGACUGAGAAGUUUCCAUCCCUAAAUAAGCUGGUGGACUACUACAGGACAAAUUCCAU
rnacentral:sRNA from 1 species